AGGGGGGCAGCCAGCCCACGGCAGGGUUGGGGAUGGGUGAGCUUUAAGGUCCCUUCCAACCCAAACCAUUCUGUAAUUCUAUGACAAGCAAGGCAGGGCUGAGCUAACUGGUGAGACUGAGUUCUGGACUGCCAGUGAAACAACACAGCAGUCUGUAGGAAAACCUAGCAAAAUGAGAAAACAGCCUGCAGUCUGACCGACACAGAGAAUGCUUGAAAAGAUUAUUGCCAAAUGAAAUAAUGUAUCUGUAACUAUUCUUUAAAUAAAACAUUCGGUAAGAGUGCACCAUUUCUGCUAACAGGCAGCACCUCAGGAUGGGAAGCAGGGCUCCUUGCUGGGUGCCCCAGCUCCCACAGCAGUCAAGGAGCAGCUUAUCAGUACCCAUCAUCCGAGGCACUCUGACUCUCAGUCCCAGUGAACCACAAAAAAGAAGAAAAGCUCCAAUACAAAUACCAUUCUAUAGGAUAGAGCACAGCUAAAAAGACUUAAGCAGAGCUGUUUUUUUCAAUGGCUCAGUGAGAACAGAGAUACUUUCUCUUCUAGCAGCCACUCCCCUGCACCAAGCCCACAGAUAUUGCCAAGACACUGCCAAAAUGGGGUGGAAACAAAGUCAACAACUUUUUUAAGACUCAGGAAUUUUCUUCUGUUAUUCUCACCCUCACCACAAUAACCAAGUGAGUCCGUCUCUAAAACAAAAUCUAACCCAUGUUCUGGGUUGGGCCCUGAGCUGUGAGGGGUAGCCUGGUGACUCCUCCAAGUGCUUUCUCCAUCUGCUUUUCUGUUGACUGAAGGACUCAAACUUACAAGAGGAUCAUACUGAGGCUAAAGAGGAUGAAAGCAUUUCCUGCUGUGCGGCUGGCAGCCCUGCACGCGACCCAGAGACCUGCCAGGCCCAGGAAGCCUCAGCGCCGCCCAGCUUCACUGGGGGACACGCUGCCCUUGCAGGACCGCAGGUCCCACCUCUCAGAAGCCAUAGAACUUUGCCACCGACAGCCAGCCCAGCUCCAGCCCCACUUUGUGAAAAACAAACCAACCGAUCUGCUUGUGCAACCGAUGCCAACUUUCCAGACGUUUCAUCUAGCAGACUGCACACAAAGCACUUCAAAUAAAUACAGUGGUGAUUCAUUUCCAUUAAAAACACUUUUUCUUUUUUAUUCAACUUCCCAGAAUGAAUUAAUUUAUCUAUGA
rnacentral:lncRNA from 1 species